GUUCCCGAUGGCUAUUAUGUGAUAUAGUUGCGCUCCAUAGCCUGCACCCUUUAAUUACUAAUACAGAAGAAAAUCCCAUAUAAGAGCCAGGAAUGUAAAUGAGACCUCUGCUCUUUUGAACCUUUUAUGCAUUUGCCAAAUUAGAGUUUGCCGUGGACUUUGGUUUUCCCUGAUCGCUGUUGGUAGUGAUCAUUUGGCUCGUGGGAUUAAAUCUGACUUUCUAAAAACUAUUUCCGAUCAGCGAGCAGAUUUUAGACCUUUAUGUGUGCUUUGCGCUGAGACGUGGAUCAUCAGAACCAGAUUGGAAACAACUUUGAAGUUUUCAAAGGGAUACCUUCUUUGAAUACUUAGAUAUGUGCGUUGAAAUGGGAGGACUCGUCAAUGUCUGCCAAGUAGUACGGGCCAGUAUCUCGGGGGAGUGGAAUAUACUGCAGAUGGUACGAAGUGGGGAAGUAAAUGGGGAUUAAUACAGAAACAAAGAACUAGUCACAUGCAGGGGAGAAGAGGAUCCAGAGUGCUCAUCUCUAAAUGAAACAUCCACAUCACACUCCUCCCGGCUCAGCAAUCAUCACAGGCGAGAGGAGCAGAAAGACUGUGAAAGCCAGUGUUCGUGGAUGUCUGCCGUGAAACACUUGCUAAACUCGGCAGUGCCAUUGCCUAUGAGACCAGCCACUGUGGCUACACGUGCAAGACCUUUACAAGAUCAAGCCAAACAAAAUCCCAGCAUGGUUCCUUCCACCUCUAGCAGAGGAGCUGUUUCUUGACAAUUUAUGGCUGUUGGAAAAGGGAGAGUCGUGUUUCUUUAAGGGUGCA